AUCCAACUGACGAGUCCUAAAUGGGACGAAACGCGCAUCUUGGAU
rnacentral:hammerhead_ribozyme from 1 species